GACGAACGCUGGCGGCGUGCUUAACACAUGCAAGUCGAGCGGUAAGGCCUUUCGGGGUACACGAGCGGCGAACGGGUGGGUAACACGUGGGUGAUCUGCCCUUCACUUCGGGAUAAGCCUGGGACACUGGGUCUAAUACCUGAUAUGACCUCCUAUCUCUUGGUGGGUGGUGGAAAGGUUUAUCGGUGCAGGUUGUGCCCGCGGCCUAUUAGCUUGUGGGUGGGGUAAUGGCUUAUGAAGGCGACGGCGGGUAGCCGACAUGAGAGGGUGACCGGCCACACCGGGACUGAGACACGGCCCAGACGGCUACGGGAGGCAGCAGUGGGGAAUAGUGCGCAGUGGGCGAAAGCCUGAUGCAGCGGCGCCGCGUGAGUGAUGACGGCCUUCGGGUUGUAAACCUCUUUCGGCAGGGAUGAAGCGGAAGUGACGGUACCUGCAGAAGAAGCACCGGCUAACUACGUG
rnacentral:rRNA from 1 species